rnacentral:rRNA from 1 species
UAUUUUUUUUUUUUUUUUUUUUUUUUUUUUUUUUUUUUUUUUUUUUUUUUAGUACUAAAAUUAAAUAAUUUUUUAUUUUAACUGUUAAGGAUAUUUAUAUUAUUAUAGAAUAAUUUUUAGUACCUUUUGUAUCAGGGUAAUUUAAAUAAUAAAUUUAUUUUUUAUUCCCGAAAUUUUAUUAUUUAUAAAUUUAUUAUAUUAAUUGUUGAAUAAAUUUUUUUUAUGAAUUUAUUAUAAUUAUAAGUUAAUUGAAUAUUUAUAUAUCUGGUUACUUUGGAUAAAAUUAAAUUUUUGAUUUAAGAUUUAAUUUAUAUUUUUAAAUUUAAUUCUUAUUUUAAUUUGGAUAAUCAAAUUAAUUAGUUAAAAUUUUUUUUUUUUAAUUUUUAUUAAGUUUAAUAUUUUCUAUUUAGUUUGUAAUAUUUUGAUUUUAUUUAAUAAUUUUUAUUUUUAUUUAAUUUUUUACUAAGUUUUUUUAUUUAACUUUUUUUUAAAAAAAAUUUUGAGUUAAUUAGUAUUUUUUUUAUAUUAAGUUUUAUUAACUAGACAAAUAUAGCUUUCAACUGUUUAUUAAAAACAUUUCUUUAAGGAAAAUAUUUAAGGUAACUUCUGCUCUAUGAAUUAUUUAAAUGGCUGCAGUAUAUUGACUGUACAAAGGUAGCAUAAUAAUUUGAUUUUUAAUUGGAAUCUUGAAUGAAUGAAUAAAUGAGAAGCUUUUUUUAUUAAUUUAAAUAUAAGAAUUUAUUUUUUUAGUAAAAAAUCUAAAGUUUUUUUUAGGGACGAUAAGACCCUAUAGAAUUUAAAUUUUUUUCUUUUAAAAUUAAUUAUUUUUUAAUAUUAAAAUUAGUAAAAUUUUUAUUGGGGUGGUAAUUAAAUUUAUACUUUAUUUUUUUUUUUCAGUAUUUAUUGUAACAUUGAUCCAUAUAAAUGAUUAUAAGAUAAAAUUACCUUAGGGAUAACAGCGUAAUAAUUAUUAGGAGUUCUUAUCUAUAUAAGUGUUUUCGACCUCGAUGUUGAAUUAAGUAAAAUUUUUGGUGCAGAGGCUAAAUAUUUAAGUCUGUUCGACUUUUAAUUACUUACAUGAUUUGAGUUUAAACCGGUGUGAGCCAGGUUGGUUUCUAUCUUAAAAUUAAUUUAUUUUUUUAGUACGAAAGGACCAAUAAGUUUUAUUUAAAUAUU